GACCGCGUAGCUCAGUUGACAGAGCAUUGGGCUGGUAUUGCAGGGUCGUGGGUUCGGUUCCCGCCGUGGUCA